GCAGCAAACCUCCUUGCUCCUGCCUGUGUUCUGGGUGAGGUGCGGUGUGGCCAGGUUGUGGUGUGUGUGCAGGGCUGCGAGAAGGAGACCAGCCAUAUCGUGGCUCGUUAGGGCAUCUGACAGCUUAUCGUCCCACCUCCAGCCAGUGAGUUGCGGUGAAGACAAGUGGACAGACGUUUCUCACCAUGCGAUGGUCACGUGUACUCUCGGGCCACAUUACAUUUACAGUCUAUAACCACUGUCUAAAGUUAUUCAUUGACGUCAGCCGUGUGUCUGUAUGUGUGUGUAUGUGUGUCUGU